rnacentral:rRNA from 1 species
UACGGAGGGUGCAAGCGUUAUCCGGAUUCACUGGGUUUAAAGGGUGCGUAGGUGGGUUGGUAAGUCAGUGGUGAAAUCUCCGGGCUUAACCUGGAAACUGCCAUUGAUACUAUCAAUCUUGAAUACCUUGGAGGUGAGCGGAAUAUGUCAUGGUAGCGGAUGAAAUGCUUAGAUAUGACAUAGAACACCAAUUGCGAAGGCAGCUCACUACACGGUCAUU